ACAAGAGAGGUCUAAGAGUAAGAGCGCUCUCUUAUUAACUGUGCUGUUAGACAGCGACAAUAGGAGUGUGUCAUUAGAAUUAUGACGAGCACUCGAUGUAGAUGAUUCUUGAAUAUGUCAGCUACUUCGACUGACCAUAUAUCAGCUGUCUUCAAACGAUGACUUGAAUGACUUGUAGUACUAGAUUUUCACCCACACCGGUUGUAGUAUCACGGUUGUCUAGUUUCACCCACACAGGUUGUAAGAUCAGGGUUGUCUAGUUUCGUCCACGCAGGUUGUCUCAGCAUAUCAUGUUAAAGUGACUUUGAACAAUGCUGUCAUAAAUGUCGUUUUCGGCCGCUUCUGACACCAAGAAUGUCACCGUUCUUUUAUAAUGUUAUGAAUGUGGCUGUGGUUAUCAAUGUAGGCGUGGUGGUGACAUUGGGUUCUUGUUACAAAUCACUGAAUAAUGAAAUGACGCUGGGUGUAGCAGACAAUAAGUUUAAUAUAACACCACAUAGUGAAUACACCAUACAAUUCGACCCAGGAAUGGCCAGUAUCAAUCCAACAGUAAUAUACGAAUAUCACAACUUAGUACUUAUUCUAUAACCAACUACUUUAAACAUCUAACUCUACUGCUUAUAUCUUAAGUGACUCAAUACAAGUGCUUGCUACCAGAUCUCUAUGUGGACUGACUGCCUUUAACUCCCUGGUUCACCUAAGGUCAAAAGUGUUCACCUUAGUGCAACAUGGGUUGUGAAUAAGAUUCACAAUAUGGAAUUAACAUAUACAAUACAGAAUUAGGGUUUCUACUCUAUGGCACCAACUUUGAGGUGGUGACAAUAGCUAAUGAAUUAUCUAGUCGAUCUAACGUAUUUAGUGAAUCGUCUAGUAGAUAUGAAAGACAGACAGACACAAACAGGGACAAGAGUUUAGAAAGGGAAGAGGGAGAGACACGUUGUGCAUAAGAGAGAGAGACAGACAGACAGACAGAAACAGGGACAAGAGUAUAGAGGGGGAAGAGGGAGAGACACGUUGUGCAUAAGAGAGAGAGACAGACAGACAGAAACAGGGACAAGAGUAUAGAGGGGGAAGAGGGAGAGACACGUUGUGCAUAAGAGAGAGAGACAGACAGACAGACAGAAACAGGGACAAGAGUAUAGAGGGGGAAGAGGGAGAGACACGUUGUGCAUAAGAGAGAGAGACAGACAGAAACAGGGACAAGAGUAUAGAGGGGGAAGAGGGAGAGACACGUUGUGCAUAAGAGAGAGAGACAGACAGACAGACAGAAACAGGGACAAGAGUAUAGAGGGGGAAGAGGAAGAGACACGUUGUGCAUAAGAGAGAGAGACAGACAGACAGACAGAAACAGGGACAAGAGUAUAGAGGGGGAAGAGGGAGAGACACGUUGUGCAUAAGAGAGAGAGACAGACAGACAGAAACAGGGACAAGAGUAUAGAGGGGGAAGAGGGAGAGACACGUUGUGCAUAAGAGAGAGAGACAGACAGACAGACAGAAACAGGGACAAGAGUAUAGAGGGGGAAGAGGGAGAGACACGUUGUGCAUAAGAGAGAGAGACAGACAGACAGACAGAAACAAGGACAAGAGUAUAGAGGGGGAAGAGGGAGAGACACGUUGUGCAUAAGAGAGAGAGACAGACAGACAGACAGAAACAGGGACAAGAGUAUAGAGGGGGAAGAGGGAGAGACACGUUGUGCAUAAGAGAGAGAGACAGACAGACAGAAACAGGGACAAGAGUAUAGAGGGGGAAGAGGGAGAGACACGUUGUGCAUAAGAGAGAGAGACAGACAGACAGACAGAAACAGGGACAAGAGUAUAGAGGGGGAAGAGGGAGAGACACGUUGUGCAUAAGAGAGAGAGACAGACAGACAGACAGAAACAGGGACAAGAGUAUAGAGGGGGAAGAGGGAGAGACACGUUGUGCAUAAGAGAGAGAGACAGACAGACAGAAACAGGGACAAGAGUAUAGAGGGGGAAGAGGGAGAGACACGUUGUGCAUAAGAGAGAGAGACAGACAGACAGACAGAAACAGGGACAAGAGUAUAGAAAGGGAAGAGGGAGAGACACGUUGUGCAUAAGAGAGAGACAGACAGACAGACAGAAACAGGGGGAAGAGGGAGAGACACGUUGUGCAUAAGAGAGAGAGACAGACAGACAGACAGACAGAAACAGGGGGAAGAGGGAGAGACAUGUUGUGCAUAAGAGAGAGAGAGACAGACAGACAGAAACAGGGGGAAGAGGGAGAGAGACAGACAGACAGAAACAGGGGGAAGAGGGAGAGACAUGUUGUGCAUAAAAGAGAGAGAGAGAGAGAGAACUAACAGAUAAAGCAGCGGAUAUUUGGGAUUGUUUACCUUUCAAGAUAGGUGAGAGCACUUAGAUAAACGCGAUUGCUUACACGAUGAUAUAGAUACAGACAGUAAAAUUAAUCUCUCUCUUCAUGAUAAUGGAGAGAGAGAGAGAGAGAUGUAGCUCUCAUGGUCAGCUAGGAACAUGUACACCAAAUUUAUACAAUAACACAAGAAAGAGAGGGAGAGAUUUAGCCUUUGCCUGGAAGACUAACCAGAUUUCGACAUCACAAUCACGUGACACCAUGUGUUGACACUGGUCAGUCCUCAUCAUCACGACACUUUAGGCAAGGCUUAAUAAAAAAAAAAUGCUGUGAAACGAUCGCCAAAAGAGAUUUUUAACAAAUCUGCUAACACUGGUCAUUUUGUCGAACUCUCACUGUGUUGCCAUUUUGUCAGGUUUCUAAUAAAAUUGUUUUAUUGCUGUUCCAUCAAUUUCCGCAUACCCCUCCGGAAACAAAAAAAAAAAAAUAACGUUACAUAAGGGUUGCGGGAGGGAUUGUGGUACGAUUUAAGACAAAUGGGGAAAAAAGGAGGGGUAGCGAGCAGGGGCAUUGAUUGCUCAUCACCCUUGUUUAAACGCCCUAAAAUAAUCGUGGGUAAUAAUUUCCUUUCGGUUUUAUUGUUUGACCUUCGCGUAGGAUGAAACACGGUCACGUGACAAAGACACGCUCAUUGAUUAGCCAUCAAAAUCGGACCGUAUCUAUUGGUCAGCGAGUGUGCAGAGAGCUAUUUAGUCUCAUUUUUUUUAAAAAGAUCUAUAUAUUGAAGGUAACUGUUUGUAUAAAUGCGGACGGGUUAAAAGGGACCAGUUUUGAAAUGUGAUGCGUUUCUGAUACUGUUGACCGCUGUUGAGAUAUACGUAAAACAUUUAGUGCUAGGUGUAGAUACUUAUCAUUACAACCUAAUGGCUAGUGUCAUUACUGGCCAAUGUUGAAAUAUGACGCCUUACUGGUGUGAGACACUUAGUAUUAUUAGUUUGUAUAGAGACGCACCAUAGUUGUCGGACUUUAAAAGCGACUUUAGUGACAUCAGGACUUAGUUGAGUUAGAGAUUAUUUAUGAAAAUAGAGUGAGUUGGUGUUAGGACUUCAUAGGGAUAACGUGAUUCGACUGGACAGUGGCCUUUUUUGAUUCGACUGGACAGUGGCCUUUUCAGUAUUAAAACAUCAUCUGUGUUAUACAACGGAUUGGAACUAAGUCUUUUUUUCUACUUGUUAAUUGUGCGGGCUUUGUUCUUGUUAGUUACUUACAUUGAAUACACCCGUACAAGAAACUCAGACAUCUCCAGAGUAAUCUGUCAGUGUCAGACAGCAUCAACAACUACAAGGCAAGGCCUAUCACACUGGUCAGUAUGAAUAUACAAAUAUAUACAACAUACUGGCACCGCAGAUACUGAAUUCGUAUAUUUAUCGUUGAAAUAUAAAAGCAUGACGACAUCUUGCUCUAACAGUACAUAAAGACGGACAUUUGUCUGACAGUACAUAAAGACGGACAUUUUAGUCUAACAGUACAUAAAGAAGGCCAUUUUAGUCUGACAGUACAUAAAGACGGCCAUUUUAGUCUGACAGUACAUAAAGACGGCCAUUUUAGUCUAACAGUACAUAAAGACGGCCAUUUUAGUCUAACAGUACAUAAAGACGGACAUUUUAGUCUGACAGUACAUAAAGACGGACAUUUUAGUCUGACAGUACAUAAAGACGGACAUUUUAGUCUAACAGUACAUAAAGACGGACAUUUUAGUCUGACAGUACAUAAAGACGGUCAUUUUAGUCUAACAGUACAUAAAGACGGCCAUUUUAGUCUGACAGUACAUAAAGACGGCCAUUUUAGUCUGACAGUACAUAAAGACGGACAUUUUAGUCUGACAGUACAUAAAGACGGACAUUUUAGUCUAACAGUACAUAAAGACGGACAUUUAAGUCUGACAGUACAUAAAGACGGACAUUUAAGUCUGACAGUACAUCAUGACGGACAUUCUCCUCUAACUGUACAGUUCUAUGUCUAUUCUACCUUAUUUGUUUUAAUUGAGGUCUUUAUAGUUGAUGGUCGUUGGGUCAUUUCUUUUGACCACUGCUGAAUACGAGUCGUCUUUCGAUGUAAAGAAAGAAGGGAAAAAAAAAGAUACACAAAGAGGAAAUAAAGAGAUUGUCGUAAGGCGGAUUGAAUUUCU